GCGACGGCCAUGUUUAUAUUUCUUCUGCAUAACUGUAAAGUGAAGUGAAGUGGAACUUGGUUCGUUUUCUAGAUGUAUUCUGGUGUAAUUUACGAUGGUGGUUUUCGUUACAGUGCAAUUUUCAAGAUGAAAUACAUUCUGGUAUUUGACAAAAUCAACAACUGCCAUAAUGUCAGCGAGGGAUUGGAAAUACCAUCAAAUAUGUUGGCCAGCUCUCUAGCAAAAGCAUAAUGUCUGAAGAAGAUUCGUCUUCAGCAUCUGGAAAUGCUUGUUCUACAUCUCCAUCCGUUCAGCAGCAGUUGAACAGCGAGGUAUGGCGUGGGUUGACCAGCGGCGGGGCAGGUGGUGUGGGCUCGCGGAGUGGAGGGGGACCUCGCAGUCUGCUCCUCAAGAGGUCGGAAAAUGGAUUCGGAUUCACACUCAGGCAUUUCAUCGUCUAUCCACCCGAGUCCUAUACGGUUUUGGUGCCCGGAUGCCGAUCGGGAUGCGAGCCAAUGGAUACAAUGUUCGUGAAGAGUGUGCGACCGAAUUCGCCAGCCGCCUGCGCCGGCCUGCAGACGGGAGACCGCGUGGUGUCGGUGAAUGGGCAGACAGUGACCGGGUCACUCACAUACGCCCAUGUCGUGCACAUGAUCAGCCAAUCACCGAAACAUCUGCAUCUGUUGGUGGUUCCCAGGCAUGAUGAUCUCCUACAAUUGUAUUUUGGAGACACAGCCCACAACCCCGAGACAAACCCGCGCGUUCGGCUGAGGUCACCCUCUUCGGGGGGCAGUGCUUCCCCCUCGCGGCGACCGCCCCUGCUCUCGCAUCACCAGAGUGUUCCCCCGCUCACGCCUCCACUGUUGUCGCACCAUCAUCAUCAUAGCAGCAGACUGUUGGCUGUUAAUCCAGGAGGAGGCCGAGAAUGUUCGUCUCUCUCUUUGGAGGCUGGAGUGGGGGGAGGUGGUGGUAAUCAGGAGUGGAGGAGAGCCAGUGAUGGAGGAGGAGGAGGGGAAAAGGACGGAGAUAGUUGCAGUGCGUCUAGCAGUUUGGACUCGAUGUCACGGGCUGACUUUCACAGCAGUGAUGACUCGCUUAUUAUUGAUAGGAUCCGUAAAAGCUUCGAGCAGAAGGAAGAGUUUCUGCGUGGAGGAGUGACUCAGCCGUCUGCUUCCCCCUCCAACCCGCCCAUCCAGUGGCCGGCCGCCAUUCCUGCCUCAUGUGUCAUCAAGCCGUCAACCACCGAACAAGCAGUUCCAUGGCGGACGAAGCCGGCAGCAGUGUCUCCACGCUGCAAAGGCCUGACUAGGAUAGAUGAGAGCGGCUCCAGCUCUAUGUCUAUGUCUAGCUGCUCUAGCUCUGCUCUAGGCGGAGCUCUGGUGCCUGUCGCUACGCGUGCACAAGUCUUCGAAGAGGGUGCCGGCCUCACAGGUGUGCAGCUGUUUCGCAGCGAGCUGGCCGGUUUGAGUGAGAAGCGCAGUGCACCGGAUGUGGCGUUGAGAAGGCGGCAGUUCGAGACACAAGGCAUCACCAGUCGGACACAAGAUGGCGGCGGACCUGUGCCAUCAGCGGCCAACCAAGACAAGCGCGCUGGCAUCAGUCGAUCCCUCGAUAUGGGGUGCGCGAUGUCUGGCAACCGCACCACCCCAGUGGGAGGGUCGAGACUGCAUUGUGAGCCACCUGUGCAACGACAAUCACCCACUUCCAAUCAAGGCCUAGCAACAAGUAAUAGUAGUAGCAGUAUAGGAUCUGAAUGGGGUGGUGGGGGAACCUCUUCCUCCCCUCCACCAGUCUCGCAGCGUCACAAAGCUGUCAGACAAGACUCCUACCUGGCUGCCUGUCACAAGCCACAGACCACACAGGCUGCAUCAUCAGAAGUCGCAGCUGAUUCAGCUGCAGCUGUAACAGCUGAUUCGGAAAAUGAGAAGCAGCAGCUGGAGAAGAAGAAGCAGAAGAAGAAAAAGUUGAAAAGCAGUUCAUUACGAUCAGCUGUUCGACCCAGCAGACUUGACCUUGCCAAGGUCGCCAGGCCGCUCAGCUGUGGUGGAACCCCUCCCCCUUCGCCUUUAUCGCAAGAUGCGAAGGACGACCUAAUAAAGCAAUCUCCAACCGAUGACCAACAAAAUACUGACGUUGACCAAUCCCACCAGAAGCGAGUCUCGUAUCUGAAACAAAUUUGGACGGAAAAUGCUAACCGAACUUCACCCACCCCACCCAGUAGCUCUCAGCUGCUAAACGAACGACUAAAGAAGAAGAAGAAACGGGAAGACGGGGAAGCAGCGGCAGAACAGGAUGAAGGCCCCCUAGUGGUGGUGGAAGGCAGCCUGAUGUGCAGUGUGCUUGAUACUGCAUCUAGUGGUACUGCUAAUAGACGAGUGGCGCUAUCUAGCAGCCAACAGUGGAACCCGGUGUGGGCGAUUCUCAGGGGACCCGUCCUGCAUCUGAUGCGGCUCAAACAGGCUGAGACGCCCGGCCUGUCGAGUCCCCUAGGCACCGACCAGCUAGCCUGUCGCGAGGAGUGGUGGAGCCAAGACCUGUGCGCCCGAGGCGUUAUCAUACAGCAAUGUGUUGUGGACCCUUCUAGCACUGCUCCCGCUACAGCCACCAAACGAGGCGCCAACACCAGGCAUGUGAUCAGUGUGCAGGUGCCUCCGCAAUCAGCUGAUCAUCAGCCCCAACCAGCUGAUCAGCUGUUGCUGCAGGCAGCCGAUGUGUGCAGUCAUGAGCAGUGGCUGCGUGCCUUGCAUAAUGUCGUCGAUAAGCCGGCGCCAAGGGGGGAAGGCCGCAAGAACAGUGAAGACUGCCAACCGGCUGGCCAGUCGUCGCAAACGCCCCAGGUGCAGGUGCAACAGCAGCAGCAGCAGCUAGCGUCGCCCAAGUGCAAAACGUGGAAGGGCCGCGUCGCCAAGCAGUUUCGGCGAAUUGGGCAGGCGGGCAGUGGGGGUGGGGGGACCCGGGAAGGGGGGUCGUCCCCCAUUUCACCUACUGCGGGGCCCCCCCAGGCCAGUGCCAGCUACCAGGAGGGCGCCUCCAUCGGGGUGCCUCUGGAUUGGUGUCCGCAGUCUGCGAAUCAUGACGGUGUGCCCCUAUUGGUGGAUGUGUGCUGUGGUGAAGUGGAGGGGAGAGGUCUGGAGGUGGUUGGUGUCUACAGGGUGCCUGGCAAUACGGCUGCUGUUACCAAUCUCACCGAACAGGUGAACAAAGCAAGCGGCGGAGAUGUGAUAGCUGGUCUGGUGGCGCAGGCCGACGUGAAUGUGGUCUCGUCGCUGCUCAAGUCGCUGUUCCGUCGUCUGCCAGAUGCUCUGCUCACAUCCGACCUCUAUCCACUCUUCAUUGCUGCCGACAAGAUACCCGAUCCACUGCUGAGGGCGGCCACCAUUAGGAAGCUGGUUCACUCACUGCCCGACCACCACUUUGAAACGCUGCGCUUUGUGAUGGCUCACCUGAAGCGAGUGGUCGCCCGCAGUGAAGUCAACAAAAUGGAGGCGCGUAAUCUGGCCAUUGUGUUUGGACCCACCUUGGUGCGGACGUCGGACGACGACAGCAUGCUCACACUGGUCACUGACAUGUCGCAUCAGUGUCGAAUCGUCGAGACUCUCAUACUGCAUGCGGACUGGUGCUUCAGUGAUGACGACAUCGACCGGUUGCAGCUGGCGAGUGGCGGCGGAGGAGGAAGUGUGAGUGGAGAUGGCCCCUCCCUUCCCCCGGGACCCACGGUCGACCACAUCACCGACAAUCACAGCUUGCUACUCGAGAACAUACACAAAGUACAGGGUAUGAAAAGCGGGAUUGGCGAGGUGGGUGGUGGAGGGGGUAGCAACAUGAAGGAGAUAUCGGCAAAAGACAUAGUGGUGUCGAUCAUUGGCGCUGCCAACCGCAAGAUGCACAAGUCCAAGUCGCGAUCGGGCUGCGGCACCAGCUCUUCCAAGCUGCAGCAGCAGACGAGUGAGGUGGAUGGUGGUGGGGGAAGCAGGGGCGUGGCUGCCUCUAUCAGAGAGUCGGUACUGUUCUCGGGCAGUAUACUGGCUGCAUCAUCAACUGCCAGUGUCAAGCACCAGCGCAAACACGAUGGCGUGGAAGAGAGGCGUGGUAGUGGUGGGAGUGGCCAGGAGCAGAGUGGUGGGGGUGAUGGAGGGAGUAGUAAUGCGGCAGUUGAUGCUGAUGGCAUGAUCAGGACUUACACUGGACUGUCUGCCUGCAAACAGGAACGCAUCAGAAGGUUUGAACAGGAGACAAAGGCGAUGCUACAGCGUGUUGGAGCCACAGCUGUGGAAGACAGACCCAAGAGAGAAUUCGACUUUAGCGCUAACCAAGACGAGAGUCCACCCUCAGGUAAGAGGAUCCGCAGUACAUUGUCUGUGCUGGGUGGUCUAAGAUCAAGGCGCCAGUGAAGAAGGAGAAGUGAGAGGGGAAGAAGAGGAAGGAGAAGGGGUGAUAGAGAGAGAGUGUGCGAAGACCUGCUAUCGAGUCUGACGUCGACGUUUGAUGCGAAAAUGCGCUCACUGCUGUCUGGGUCGGCUGCUGCGGUCACGGCAGAAGUGGAGCCACCUGUGGCUGGGGACCCGGCAGAUGAUGUGACGGCAGACG
rnacentral:misc_RNA from 1 species